GCCUAGCUCAGCUGGCUAGAGCGUACGGUUCAUACCCGUAAGGUCGGGGGUUCGAUCCCCUCGGC
rnacentral:tRNA from 1 species